UAAGGCAUUCUUCGAAUGUGGGCUCAACGUGAAUUUCUGUACGUCUUUAACCCAUCAGGGACUAAGAUUAGACUCUGGGUAUAGAAAUACAUAAUUAAGAAGAAGGGUUCACAAAAAUAUGCAAUUAACUAACCUGUUUUGCUGAUGCUGAUCAGAUUAACCACGUUUCUCCUCACUCCCUUCUGUAUGGAAUAAUACCCUGCCUUCUAUCUUGUUUGGCAAAUUCCUAUUUACUGUUCCAAGGAAGAUCAAAUGUUACCUCUUACAGGAAGUUUCCCAAAUUCCCUCAGAUUAAUUUCUUUCUUUCCUAUCAUCUCAAAGUAUGCUGCAUGUGACUCCUUCAGAGCACUCGUAUGCUGCACUAUAUUUAAUCUUCUAUUUAUGUAGCUCCUCACUGCUCGGAAUUUGAUCAGGGAAUAGUCGACCCAAACAUACUUCUGGAGAGUGUCAAGAACAAGAAUUUCCUAUGCUCCAUCCUGUGGCGGAGCACAACCAGACUGGGGAGCCUAAUGACUGCAGCCAGAUGCUUAUUCAUGAACUGAGAAUCACUGUGUAUACACUGUCUGAAAACGUUGUGGGGUUGGGUGAGUUAAUUAUGAUUGGUAUAUUCAUAGAUAAUAUAUUCAAAAAUGGUGAACCACUGCACACAUUCUUCCUUUGAAGAAGGCUACAUUAGAUUCUAGGCUCAGAUAGUCAAAGAUUGGAUUUUUACCUGCAAGAAUAUCCAGAAAGAUCACUAAAAUUUGUGUAGAGAAUGUGGGAAGGUUUUGGUGUGUGAGGCUGUCCAGUGUACAACACUGUUGAUUCCUCCGACUAAUUGCCAACUCUGCCGUUUGAUAUUUCUAGCAACAAAAAUGUCAUUUAACACAUCCCAGGCACCUCCUCGAGGUCACACCAGCACAGUUGGAAAUCAUUGAUAGAAUCUUCCUGAUUUUUUCAAAUGAACAAACUUUAGCCAACUCAAGAGCAAAUCAAGUUUAAAAACUGAACAAGAAAAUAUUUUAUCUUGCUAUGGUCCACUUUAAAUAUAUUAGGUUGGCCAAAAAGUUCAUUUGGGUUUUUCCAUAAGAGGUAACAGAAAAACCUGAAAGAAGUUUUUGGCCAACCAACAGCAACUCUUCAAUAUGCAGGCUCCUCUUGCUUUUAUGUUGUCUUUAAUUGCUUUAAGUUCCUAUCACACCUUCCUAAAUCCAUUGGCAUUUCUAACCUAGUAUUCCUUCUUGCUGCUUAAAUUUCCACUUCAUUCAUGAA
rnacentral:lncRNA from 1 species